rnacentral:lncRNA from 1 species
GCCCAGGCCAGCAGAGACACAAGUGCUCCUUACCUCUUUUCUUCUGCUAUAUGUCACUCCUAGUGAUGGCAAUAGUACCACUGCUGGAAGUAUUGCUACUGAUGCACACAUCAUGUAGUCUGGCAAUGGCUGCUAUUGUCCUUUGUUGGAUCUAGGAUAUGUCACCUCUGUUGCUUGUUUCACCAGAGUGUGGAGGUAUCUGAAGCCAAAAUUCCUUUGUUCUGUAUUUGUACAGUAUCUAGCACAGACACAGCCUGUGCCUCAAAGAGUGCAGUCGAGUACACAAAUCUUUCAAAUGGGCAAGGACUGACUGAGAUUUCCAAAAGCAGUCCAAACCACACCACACAGCUGAAGAUAAAAAGUGUUGUCGCUGUAUACUUUUACUUUGCCAGAAGAAUAUAA